UGUUGCAGCAGGUGCGCCUUUUGCGCAAAAGUGCGCCUCGGCGGAGAGGAGCCGCCGCUGAAUAUCUGGGCUCUGGAACGCGAUUAGGCGGAGAAGUGGGGCACGAGGGGAGGAAGAGGAGCGGAGGGCAGGGCCGGGGGUCGCAGCGCCGCCGGGGCUCGCGCGGGGGCCCCGGAGAGCCCCUUUGUCCCCGGCUGGAAGGCGCUCCGGUGCGCCUUUGUUAAUCGCGGUGUUAAAACGCGAUGCAAAUACCCGAGCUUUAUUAACAUGACAUGGAGGAGCGGUGCCAAGUGUAAAGAGCCUGCCUCCAGGCGUGGGGAGCGGCUGCGUUCGGAGGAGGGGGGGGGCCAUAAAGUCAUCUGGCACUCCGAGCCUUUCCUGGGCUCGGCUCGCAGCCUGUGAACCGCAGGAGUCAAAGUGGAUUUAUUAGGGACGGUUAAAAAUAAUCAUGCGCUGCCUCUGCGUCCGGGUUUAUUAGAAGGGGACGACCCUGCAGUUGGUCGACAGUAAAAUUCAUGAGCGUGGGCUCUUGUGCAGUCAGACGAGGACAGGUGUGAUUCAGCUGAUUUAACCUGUGUGUGACUCUAAGUGGGGCCUGUCAGAUUUCCUGAACAUAAGGAGAAAGUAUCACAAGCAUCACUGUCCACACAGACGCUGUCUGCCUCUGCACUCCAGAGUUCCCUUCCCAUGAGGUUGCAGCACAAGAGUCGAGGAGGGAAAUUCCUGUGAAGCAGCUGCUGUGGGUCACAAGCGCCCAGGAUGGAACCCCGCGUCCAGAAACGGACUGGAGAAAAACAAAGGAGCUCCGACAGAGCGACAGUCAAAGACUAUGACGCUGCUGAUGAACUCUUGCAGAGGAGCAAAGAGUCCUUUCAGCUUGUUGGUGACUGGUCCUCUCAUUUUUAACAUAGUACAAAUAUAAACCAUGGAAUCUUACCUGGCGGCCACGGUCCUGGGACCCUCUGACUGCGAGCUCAUCUUUAAAAUGCCACUCGACUACUGCAGUCGUGGACGAGGAGGAGGCAGCGAAGGUUUAAUCAGACUGUGGAACUGAAGCUAUGGACCAAAGAGCUGGAAUCCUCUCAGUGACUGCAGUGCCGAUGAACAGCACCCACAUAUUAUUCCUACAAAGUGUUUAUAAUGCAUGUAUGCACUUGAAAUGUUUAUUCAACUACAUUUUAAACUUUUUAAUAAAACUAUAAAUCUAUUAUUAUU